rnacentral:lncRNA from 1 species
GCAAACAAUGGCAGAAUAUAAAAUAGUUUGAGUGGAAUUACAUGAGCAUAGGAAAUGGGAGUAGAAAGAACACAAUCGAAAUGAGCAACUGGAUUAGAUAAGGAAACACAAUUCACAAGCUAAUUAAUUGAAACUUUUAAUUAAAGGUCGGCGCAACUCUUAUUUGUCGUUACACAAACAGAAUUCAUAAAAAAAGGAGCUUCCCCUAUACAAAAAGACUUUCCCUUACAUGAAUUAAAAAAACGUUCUCCAUGAAAGAAAUAUAGCUGAAGAUUGAUUAUUUCACUACUUCAAACUCGAAAUAUGACAAACUGUGAAUGGGACUACGGACGAAACCGCGAACCGAGCUGCAAACGGACUCAAUUUGGCUUCUUCAGGUUUGAAAUUGUUGGAUUGAGGUAAUGAUGGAGAAGAAAAGGGAUUUUUUGGGUGGAAUUGGGUGUUGUUGUCAUGUUUAGUUGAAGAAGAAAGAGGCGUUCUUCUUUUCUUUCAUCAUAUGCGGCUGAUUGUGUGUUUUUAUGUGUGUAGAGUGUUUCUUUUUCAUAUUUAGCUAUAGGUAAUAUUAUAUAGGGGCAAUAAUUAUGGGCUAGGGAAU